UGUGUUAUAACAAUACAACAAAUAAUCUUUUUUCUUUAUAUCUUUUUGUAACACCCGAAAUCAGAAAGGUCAAGAAAGGAAAGGAAAAACCCUAAGUUGAAGAGGGUUGACUCGUCGAGUCCAGGGAGAAACUCGGCGAGUCAGAGUGGGAUCCGGAUGUAAAGCAAUUGACCGACUCGGCGAGUCGGCAAGUGGACUCGGCGAGUCAGGUCUGGGUUUGGAAACCCUAAUUUCGGGACUUGGUACCCUAUUUAAGCAUCUUAUUCUCUUUCCUAGGGCUCAGUUGCGGCCCUAUAGUCCAGAACCAGAAACCCUAAGCCUCCAUUGUUGCUCAUUCAAGUUUUCUUGCCAUUUUGGGUGGUUUGAAGGAAGAAGGAAGAAGGCUCACAUUGGGGAUUCAAGAUUUGGCAGUAGAUCUAGAGUUUGUGAGGUCUUCCAGAGCAUUUGAAGCUCGGAGAGCUAGAGGAGCAGCGGUUCAGGGGAUUGUCGAGUAGCAGCCAGAGGUUUAUCAGCAGAGCUCAGCAGUUCAGGUACUCGGUUUUCAAAAGAGGAGCUCAGGAAGAUUGCAGAGCACACGCCAUAGUCAGUUAGCCUGGGAAUGUUUGACUCUGAUAAUGAUAUUAUGUUUUGAAUUUAAUACUCGAAAGUUAUGUUUGACUUAUGAUACGUUGUUUAUAAAUCUAGUUUUAGUAAUGUUUUAAAAGAAAUUUUUAGUCGUGAUUUUUGGGUCGUUACACUUUUUAAAUCUUCUAUUUAAGUUCUCUUAACAUAUAGUAAUAUAAUAUAAGUUACUAACUUUAUUUUUUUAGAUUUUGGUUUUAAGAGUGUUCUAGUUAUUGGUGGAAUCUAUGUGGCCUUCAGCCACUUGGGUGAGAUAAGGACACUUGGAAUGUUACAUUCAAGAUUUAUAUGGGUUACUUCAGCUUUCUGUGAACACCUUGUGCCAAUGCAAAAAGAGGAGCCUAAAAGAUAUCAUGGAGAUUAUCACACAAGAUGUUAUGAAUGAUGGUCACAAGUGGUGAGGCUUUGUUUGCUUUUGACUGUCAAGGAAUCUGCAAUUAAUGUGCCUAGAAAUUUGAAGUAUCACCUUAUAUAUGAGAAUGCCAAAUGCUCCAACUGUCGGUAACAUGGUCUCAUAUAUGUAAGUAAUAUUCCAACUAUUCACUUAUUUCAUCCAUCACUGUCCUUAAGAUUAGAUUUUGUUGGUUGUGUAAACAAGAACUUUAGUGUUUUGACUCCAUAUGUUCUCUAUUCAUAAGAAGGAAAAUGAAGAUGAAAUUUCAAUUAUAUUUUACCUCCAGAAGAUAGAAGAUAUAUCCAGGUAUCUGCUGAUAUUAGUUUUGACUGUUGUCCCCUUUAUUUAGAAUCAAAGAACGUGAAGUUUGUAAUUGGAUGCUGAAUAGGGCUGGAAUGCAAUUAAGAAUGGCCGCUAGGAAGGAGUCUGGUUUUGAUAUCUUGACAUCUAGUACAGUUGUACGAGUAAUCUAGUAUGGUUGUAUGAGGAGAUCGUAUGGUGUAUUAGAUGGGUAUGUGUUUGAGAGGAUUCAUAUCAAGUACGGUUGUGUAUUGGUGUAUUAGAUGUGUAUAUAUGACGUAUUAAAUGAUUGUAUGCGAUGGUUGUAAAAAGUAGAUAGGAUACAUAUAGAACGGCUAAAUAGCCGUACUCUAUUAGACAUGUCAUCUAAUACACCCCUCUACUAAUACGCCUUCUAUGUACGUACUAUAUUUAUAAUUUCAACCGUACUCUAUUAACCUUUUUUCUAGUA